GGAUGUGAGGGUGAUCUGGCUCUGACAUUUGUCACCCCACUGAUCACCAGGGUUAAUCUGGCUGAUCUGUCUGGCAAGGUGGGUGUCCCCUUCCUCUCUCAUGUCCCUUUCUGUGUCCCUCUCAAAACCGCAUGCUCGGUAGAAGAGGAUGACCGCCCCUGACAGACGAGGGUUGUCCUUUGGUCAAAGGUAUACGUAUAUAUGAGUAGCUGCGUUCCCCUUCUGGACCCUCCAAACAAACGCUCAAGGUCCAUUUCUAGGAGAACAUGAGGUGGUCAAACUUCCAGGACUUCAAGCACGUCCAAAGGAGGUGCUGUGCGUGGCAGUCUGCCGUUCUUG
rnacentral:snRNA from 1 species